rnacentral:sRNA from 1 species
GAAAUAUCAUUCAAGAAGAAGAAAAACAAGCAAUUCCUGAGUUUUUUGAGGGGCGCCAAGCUAAAACACCAGAACGCUAUUUGAAAAUUAGAAAUUAUAUUUUGGAUCAAUGGGAGAUAUGCAAACCGAAAUACUUAAAUAAGACCUCAGUACGUCCUGGCCUGAAGAACUGUGGAGAUGUUAAUUGUAUUGGACGGAUUCAUACAUACCUCGAAUUGAUAGGAGCAAUCAAUUUUGGAUGUGGUAAAAAUAAAAACCCAACAUCUUUUACUCGACAUUUUUUAUUCUUACAAGCACUUAUUCAUUUCUAUGAUGGUUAGAAUUCAAGUAGUUAUAGGUAUAUAGAAUUCAGAGGUGCAGUAACAUUAUUUAAUACAUGUUUUAUUAGGAUUUUA